GUUCAACGGGGCGAUUCUUUGAUUAAACCGCGCCAAUCACAAAACAGAAUUAGUGGUUUUAGUACAGAAUCUGUACGGUUUAAUCAAAGAAUCGCCCCGUUGAACCAGAGCC
rnacentral:miRNA from 1 species